UUCUGCUCUCUCUACUAUCUCAUCAUCUUCAUAUACUCAGUAAUUCAAUGUCUGUCUAUUCGACUUAUUCUAUGACGGCUUCGGAAGGGAUUCUUGUUAAUGGUGUGACUGAAAUCUUGAAGAAACCGCUCCCGGCUAUUUCUCAACAAAUUGGUCAGGCAUGGGGUGUUAAAGAUGACUUAAGGAAGCUGGGAAAAACCUUGGAGUCAAUUCAAGCUUUGAUUUCUGAUGCCGAGGUGAAACAAGUAACUGAUGCUGCUGUCAGACUUUGGUUGAGAAGGCUUAAAGAUGUUGUUUAUGAUGCCGAUGAUGUUAUGGAUGAAUUCUAUUAUGAAACCAUGCGUCGUUUCCAAAGAGGAAGUCAGCUCAAGCACAAGACGAAGGAGAAAUUCAGUCGAAGAAAAAGAAAAGAAAUGAAGCCGAUGAUGAACCAGAAGCCGGAAAUACCAAAAAGAAGAACAAAUCUAAGAAGAAAAUUGUUUCUGAUGUUGAAGAUGAAAAAGGAGAAAGUGAUAGCGAUCAAACACUGUUAAAGAUGAAAAAGAAGGCAAAGAAGGAUGCUGAGAUAAGUUUGGAAGUCUCUGAAGAGCAAAAAGGAGAAACUGCUGGUGACCAACAACAAAAGGAGACAAGAACCAAGGGAAAACAUGACGCUGCGAAGAAGAAAAGAAAAGUCGCGGAUCCUGAAGCAAGCCUGUCAAGGAAGUCACAGAGAUUAAAAGAUAAGGUGUCACCUCAAGUAUCACCUAGUUCACCUCGGAAAAAGCUACUAAAGGAAUAAAGAAAGCAAAGAAUGCUGCGCCAAAGGAAGUAUUGGGUGAUGAUACAGAUAAUGAGGAUGCCGAAAAUGUGAGGCAAGAUGUUGAUCAUCAGAAGAAAGGAAAAAGACAUGAACCCAAAUCGAAAGACCUGAAAAGGAUGAAGAAGAAGCAAAUCGAAAGAUCCGAGAGUGAAGAGGAAGAAGAAGAAGAAUCUAAUAAGCAAUGUGUUGUCUAUAAACAAGCUUUGGUUGGCUGAGCAUUCUAACAUAGAUGAGAUAUCAUCAGACAU